AUGUUCUCCCCAUGCUUGUGUGGGUUUUCUCCAGGCACUUCAGUUACCUCCCACAUCCCAAAAACAUGCGACAUUAAUUCAACACUCUCAAUUGCCCCUAGGUGUGAUUGUGAGUGCGGCUGUUUGUCUCUAUGCGCCCUGCGAUUGGCUGGGAACCAGUUCAGUGUGUACUCCGCCUGCUGACAGCUGGGAUAGGCUCCAGCACUCCCCACGACCAUUGUGAGGAUAAGUGGCUAAGAAAAUGGAUGGGAUGGAUGUUCUGAAGAAAGAAUCUUUUUAGUAAAGGAAGUGAACCAAAUCAGUUUAUGAAAUGAUUCGAUUUUUUUGCUUUGUUGCCACCUGCCUAUGGCGUCAGGUCGCGAUAAAAAAAAAAAAAAGCUCAGGCUACAUAGAAACAAUUGUAGUGGGGACAUAAAAGAAGAGCAACCCUCGCAAAUAACAAGGGAACACUCUAUAAAGUAGAGUGAGUGAUGACAAUUGUUUUCUCUCUCAUCCUUUUUAUCUCACAUUUCAAUCUCUUUUGUCUCUUUCAUCUCCUUUUUCUCUCAUCUGUUUUAUCUCUUUUGUGAGGUGAGGGUAACAAUGGAGAGGUAAAUUGACAGUUUAGCUUUUACACUUGGGGAAUCGUCCCAAAGUGGGCUCAAACCACCAACCCCUCAGUGAACGGCCAAACACAAGGACUAAACAGCUUGGCUGGACUAAUGUGGGUGAAACUGAGAUCUUGCCUGCACAAUGUAGUCAAGCUCAGGCUCAAUGACUGUGGUUUUGAUUCGCAAGAUGUCAUGCAGGGUUGCUCUUGGGUUUACCCCUGGUCCCGGUUUCCAUCCUCGAUAUAUUGGGGUGGAGCGCGACAGUCUCACGUAACUGAUUUCAAGUGUAUCCUUGUGAUUUCAAAAGUAUCCUUUCAUUUCCAUGGUGAGGUUUAAUAUGAUAUGGAAUGCUGGUGAGCCUCCACCACACCUAGGUACAGGUAGUGUGGCCGAGCGGUCCAAGGCGCUGGAUUAAGGCUCCAGUCUCUUAGGAGGCGUGGGUUCAAAUCCCACCACUGCCAUGUUCUUGUCAAUCCAGAUUCUGUGCUGAUAUUUUGUCAUUGGCUCGAACACUACGCUGGGGACGAGGCAUGAUUUUGGUCACAAGAUAGUUGAGUUCUUUCUGGUCCUCAUUUUUCUCUUUCUCAUUUAAUUUGUUUGCAUGUGCAUGUAAAGUAUUACCUACCUAGUAGCACCUUUUUGGGUACUUAAAAAGUGAUUAGUUGUUGGUUCAAAACCACCCAAGGAUUUCUCCACAAUGUAAAUUUACCUGGCUUUUGGAGUACAGUAUGUCAGUAGAUGAAAAGUACAGCUCAUCAUGUCUCUGUGGCGCAAUUGGUAAUCCCUGUGAACGGAGAGGUUCCAAUGUAAGGAUGAAAGUAGAGGAAAAGCCCCGAAAAGUGCAGUUGAGUAUGUCUCUGUUAACUGAAAGGUUGGUGGUUCCAGCCCACCCAGGGACGUCUAUGCUAUUUAACAUUUCCCGGCUUUUGGAGGAUGUGGGAGGACAACAGAGUUUUGGAGGAUGUGACGAGAUCAAAAGCCCGGAAAAGUCCUGCUGUGGGUUUUCGAGUGAGGUCAACAAUGAUCUCCGGUCCCUAAAUCGAUCGCAAUACAGCACAAGAUGCGCAAUUUCCCUGAGCCCAACGGCAUACAGAAAACAAUGCACAUUCAUACAGUGCUUCACUGUAAAAAAAAUAAAAAAAGAACAACGAAAGUGUAAUAGUGAGGUCGUGUAAUGUGAAAUAAAGGAAUACUUUUAUUUGCUUAUGACAGCUAUUGGGAGCAGAGUCAACAUUUGACCUGCAAAUAGAUAGUUAACGCAUGUAAUGUAAUUUCAAUAAGUUUUACAUAAUAUCAUGAACUUGAAUGAAAAAUAAGAAAAAAUGGAAGAGGGAACCAUUGACCUUAUUGGGUGUUGUCAAAUGAAAAUGCUCUGCAGAAAUUCUCCUCUUUCUUGACUGCUCUAUUGAAUCUACAAACCGACACAAAAUGAAAAUAUGGACCAAAAAAUUGCACACAACAACCGGAUUCUCCUCCUUCUCCGGCACAAAAGCAGAUGUCGCUUUUUGAGGAACACAUUUUGCCACAUUUGCACAGGCUGUAACCUGCCUCCUGCUCAUUGACAGCUAGGAUAGGCUCCUGCACUCCCCGCGACCCUCGUGAGGAUAAGCGGCUCAAAAAAUAGAUGGAUUGGUUGUUCUCAAGUUUGAGAAACCGGGUCGGGACAUGCACGUUGCGGGUGAUCAAUUGAGAACAACUGGAGAAUGCUUCAUUGACUUCAUCCCAAACAUGGCCAAGGCUGUCAUGCGCAAUAGGCGUCACUAGGUGGCAGUAUUGUAUUGACCUGAACAUCCAACUGUUGGAAAAGGAAGUCUUGUCAGUUCCAGUCGAACAUCGUGAUUCGAUUUUAGGUUAAGAUGUUUCAAUUUAAUUCGCGUCUCCCGAUCUUACACUGCUUUCUUUAAUACCUCAAUUAAAACUCAAAAUUAAAAUAGAAAGCAUAUUUUUUUAUGUAUUGCGUUAAGGUUUGCCCGAUGUGUGUGUGGUUGUUCUCCUGAUCAUGACGAUACCGUCGCUUGACUGAACAACUGAACUCAUUUUCAAUAACUGGAAAUUAGUCUUUACGUGUCUCUGGAGAUAUUUUUCUUUUUUCUUAUAGAGUUGUCUUAAUUCAACAUGAACAGCUUUUUUAAGAUCAUGCCAAUACAUUUUAUUGAAAUCAAGACUGACUGACUAAACCAAUCACAACAUUUUUUUUUUUGUUUUAAAGGUGUUCAGAAGUUACUGUAAUUUGCUUGUGUGUUUUGGAUCAUUGUCCUGCUGUAGAACCCAAGUGGGCUUCAGUUUGAGAUCACAAAAUGAUGGGUGAAUAUUCACCACCAGCCUUUUCUUCAAAAAGAGCAGAAUUCGUGGUUCUGCGUUUAACAGUCAUCCCUGAACUUCUCUCCUCCAAACUUCUCCGGCUCAGCGUCUCGCCUGGAAUUUCUCAGUGGAUCGACAACUUCCUCACGGGCAAGGUGAGGCUUUUCGCUAUGAUGCUGCACGCAAAUGGAAUAAGUUGCCAACAGAGGGGUGUCACAGUGGAGCAGCUGUAAAGAGUUGGCCUCACAGUUCUGAGGUCCUGGGUUUGGUCCUGACCCUGCCCGUUUGGAGUUUGCAUGUUCUCCCUGUGCCUGAAUGGGUUUUCUCCGGUUUCCUCUCACAUCCCCAAAACUUGCAACAUUAAUUGGACACUCUAAAUUGCUCCGAGGUGUGAUUGUGAGUGUGGGUGUUUGUCUCAAUGUGCCCUGCGACUGGCUGGGAACCAGUUCAGGGUGUACCCUGCCUCCUGCCCGUUGACAGCUGGGAUAGGCACCAGCCCUCCCGCGACCCUCAUGAGGAUAAGUGGCUGAGGAAAUGGAUGGAUGGAUGUUGUUGUUUUCAGGAAAAGAAGGGAACCAGCUCAAGAGGAAGAGCCCUCGCUUAGCAGGUGAGUGGGAGUAGGUUUGAUACCCACAUUCUCCAUUUGACUUCGAGUUGUGUGCUGGAGUUUCCUUUUUGAGUCAGUUCACUUCUUUUGUUGUUGUUUUGGGGGGAAAUGUGGGAAUUCGCUCAGGUAGUGGAGCCGUCACUUUGCAUGAGGUGGUGAGGUCAAUGCCCACAUUCUCCAUUUCCCUUUCGGUUGUCUGUUGAAUUAAUUUUGAAUUAAUUUGGAAAUUUUCUUUUCUUGUUAUAUUCUUGGCAAAACGAGGAAAUUUGCUUGCAGAGCACAUGAGAUGGAGUGGGAUUUGUUCCUGCAAUCUCCUUUUGAGUUUCAAGGUUCUGCUGAGGUUUCUUCCACUUUUUGAAGAAGACCUCUCCCAGUUUCAAAAUAAAUAUUCCACUCAUUAAGCAUUUUACUAUGUACUGUUUGUGCUUGAGUCAAGGAUCCCUGGACAAAUUUUACAUACAGUAGAUUUACAUCAGAGUUCAGAUGUUCGAAAUGUCUCUGAGCCCUGUGCACAAGAAAAAGACAAAAAACAGGCUUUAAACUAUAUAAAUUAUUUUCAGUCUCUUGAAGAAAACAUCUUUGUUACUGGCUGACAAAGCUCAUUUGUGUUGACUUUCACUUAACGA